AACUGCCACCUGGGAUGUCACAAUGGCAAUGUACAACCAUGGCUAUAGUUUAUAUCUAAGACCAUUGUAGUUAGCACGACCGUGGUUAUAGAGCGUGCUAUGGUUUUAUAAGCUGUAAAUGUACUGUGGUUUGGCAAGCUGUAAAUGUGCUAUGGUUUAACAAGUCAUAAAUGUGUUGAGAUGAAAAGAACUUUGUCAUUCCACAGUGGUAGUAAAAAAUUCCUAUUACUCUCAGUAGAUAUAAGUCAGAACAGCUUUGCGCUAAGAAUAGGUAAAAGAUGAAACAAGAAGUCAUAGCAUGAUUUAUAUUUAUUUGAUU
rnacentral:lncRNA from 1 species